AGAGUAAUAGCUGGGUCAAUGGUGGUUCCACUUCCAGCUUUCCAAGGAAUCUCCAUACUGCUUUCCAAAUUGGCUGCACCAAUUUGCAGACCCACCAGCAAU
rnacentral:pre_miRNA from 1 species